GAUGAACGCUGGCGGCGUGCCUAAUGCAUGCAAGUCGAGCGAACGGACGAGAAGCUUGCUUCUCUGAUGUUAGCGGCGGACGGGUGAGUAACACGUGGAUAACCUACCUAUAAGACUGGGAUAACUUCGGGAAACCGGAGCUAAUACCGGAUGAUAUUUUGAACCGCAUGGUUCAAAAGUGAAAGACGGUCUUGCUGUCACUUAUAGAUGGAUUCGCGCUGCAUUAGCUAGUUGGUAAGGUAACGGCUUACCAAGGCAACGAUGCAUAGCCGACCUGAGAGGGUGAUCGGCCACACUGGAACUGAGACACGGUCCAGACUCCUACGGGAGGCAGCAGUAGGGAAUCUUCCGCAAUGGGCGAAAGCCUGACGGAGCAACGCCGCGUGAGUGAUGAAGGUCUUCGGAUCGUAAAACUCUGUUAUUAGGGAAGAACAUAUGUGUAAGUAACUGUGCACAUCUUGACGGUACCUAAUCAGAAAGCCACGGCUAACUACGUG
rnacentral:rRNA from 1 species